GACGAACGCUGGCGGCGUGCCUAAUACAUGCAAGUCGAGCGAAGUUUUUCUGGUGCUUGCCCUAGAAACACUUAGCGGCGAACGGGUGAGUAACACGUAAAGAACCUGCCUCAUAGACUGGGACAACUAUUGGAAACGAUAGCUAAUACCGGAUAACAGUAUUUUUCGAAUGAGAGAUAUUUAAAAGGGUGGGAUGGGAAGAAGAGGAGAUGGUUUGCGGUGCAUUAGCUAGUUGGUGGGGUAAAGGCCCACCAAGGCGACGAUGCAUAGCCGACCUGAGAGGGUGAUCGGCCACACUGGGACUGAGACACGGCCCAGACUCCUACGGGAGGCAGCAGUAGAGAAUCUUCCACACUAGUCUAAAACCUUACACAUCAACACCACGUUAGUUAAGAAGGAUUUCGGUUCGUAAAGCUCUGUUGUUAGGGAAGAAUUAAUAUAUCAUAACUAUACAUUUAAGAAACAAUCCCUCAACAGAAAUCCACGGCUAACUACCUG
rnacentral:rRNA from 1 species